CAUAUUCAAUCAAUCUACAGAGCGACGAUGCGGAGACUGGAGUGCCAUCCCCUGUUGAGAGGAACAAGGAGCGGCAAGUUCACGCAUGGCUUCUCCGUGGCGGAGAUGGAGUCUUUAGCCACCAUCUGCGACACUAUCUUGCCUCCUCUGCCGCUCGGUUCAUCAAACAACAACGGCAGCGAUGAGAUCGAUACUGCCGACGCGGCCGCAAUCGAGGCGUUUUACGCGGCGUCCGGUUCGCGAUCUCCGAUUCCGGAUGAGGUUGCAGAGACAGUCGCGAAAAGAGGAUUGACUGAACUCGUGAUACUGGUGCGGAUGGUGCUGUGGUUGCUAGGUACGAGGCUAGGGACGUUGCUGCUCUGUGGAUCGCUCUGUUUUUGCAGGAAAUGGCCUUAUAUCUGCAAUUUCUCGAGCAUGCCAUUGGAGAACAGAGAGGAAGCUUUGAGGAGAUGGUAUAAGAAUAAGGUUUUCACGCCCAUUAGAGCUGCUCUUGCUUCCAUCAGAGUUCUUGUCCUCUAUACCUUCUUUUCUAGGGUUGAUGUCAAUGGCGGCUUCCCUGCUUGGGAAGCCAUAAAAUACCGGCCGGAUAUUGAGGAGAAUCGGUCCAAAUCCUCCGAUGAGAGGCCUCUCCAGAAGGGAAUCAUAGAACCCAACAACGAAACAGAAUCAUCCUUUCAAAAAUCCCUCUUACAGAAGGGUCUCAGAGUCACUGGAGACGACGGCGACACCCUUUCCAUCCAAUGUGAUGUGGUGGUUGUUGGGUCCGGUUGCGGCGGAGGCGUUGCGGCGGCGGUUCUCGCAAGUUCCGGCCAGAAAGUGGUGGUUCUCGAAAAAGGGAAUUAUUUUACUGCAUCUGAUUAUUCAUCUCUUGAAGGCCCUUCCCUCAAUCAACUGUACGAAGCCGGUGGGAUUUUCACAAGUGAUGAUGGGAAAAUGUUGAUUCUGGCAGGUUCAACCGUCGGCGGUGGCUCCGCCGUUAAUUGGUCGGCGAGCAUCAGAACCCCAAAUCACGUUUUGCAGGAAUGGGCUGAGAGCCACAAGAUUCCGUUCUUUGGAACCUCUGAAUAUCAAAUCGCAAUGGAUGCUGUGUGCAAGAGACUUGGGGUUUCAGAAGACUGUGAUGAAGAGGGGUUUCAGAAUCAAGUUCUUCGAAAAGGGUGUGAAAAUUUGGGGCUUAAAGUUGAAAAAGUACCAAGAAAUUCCCCAAGCGGUCAUUAUUGUGGAUCCUGCGGCUAUGGUUGUAGAAGGGGGGAGAAACAAGGGACUGAUUCUACUUGGCUCGUUGAUGCUGUGAAUCAUGGGGCAGUGAUCAUAACAAAUUGUAAGGCUGAGAGAUUCAUAUUGGAAAGGAACAAAACUGGAAGUGUGAGGAAGAGCAAGUGCUUGGGAGUGCUUGCAAAUGUUUGGAGUGACAACUUUACCAAGAAACUGCAAAUCAAAGCCAAAGCUACCAUCUCAGCUUGUGGGGCUCUUUUGACACCGCCAGUGAUGAUAUCAAGUGGGCUGAGGAACAAACACAUUGGCAGAAAUCUUCAUCUUCACCCUGUUUUGAUGGCUUGGGGAUACUUUCCAGACUCAAAUUCAGAGUUCAAGGGAAAAUCCUACGAGGGGGGAAUAAUCACAUCACUCCACAAGGUUACCUCUGAAGGAUCCGAAUCAAAUUCUAAAACCAUCAUAGAGACUCCUUUAUUAGGACCAGGAUCAUUCUCUGUGUUGUUUCCUUGGAUAUCUGGACUUGACACUAAGCAAAGAAUGCUCAAGUAUUCGAGAAUUUCCCAUUUGAUAACAAUCGUCCGGGAUUCGGGAUCCGGGGCGGUAAGAUCAGAGGGAAGGGUGAGCUUCAAUUUGAGUGAAGAAGACAGGGAAAACCUCAAGAGGGGGUUAAGACAGUCGUUGAGGAUUUUGGUAGCUGCAGGAGCUACUGAAGUUGGCACACAUAGGAGUGAUGGACAGAGACUUGAAUGUAAAGGGAUUGGGAAGGAGGAAUUGGAUGAGUUUUUGGAUACGAUAUCCGUAGAGGGAGGGCCACUAUCACUGACAGAAAAUUGGAAUAUCUAUACCUCAGCUCAUCAGAUGGGGAGCUGCAAAAUGGGGGUUUCUGAAAAAGACGGCGCUGUCAAUGAAAAUGGAGAGAGCUGGGAAGCUGAAGGGCUUUUUGUUUGUGAUGCAAGUGUUCUUCCAACUGCUGUUGGUGUCAAUCCCAUGAUUACUAUCCAAUCCACUGCUUACUGUAUCUCGAACAGAUUAGCCGCAUUGUUACUGAAAUUCAAGCAAAGGUAGGAGAAGAAAGUGCUCCCAAAUUGGUGUUCAUUGUUUUGAAUUUCAAUCUCCAAGAUAGAACUCACAAUUGACAGGUAGUAGAUGCCUUUGCUCUUCAAGAUGAGUUCGUCUCGAAGCCAUGGAUUUCGAGAUUUCGGGUUGAGAAUUCCCCAGUC